rnacentral:rRNA from 1 species
CCUACGGGUGGCUGCAGUGGGGAAUAGUCUACAAUGGGGGAAACCCUGAUAGUGCGACGCCGCGUGAACGAUGAAGCUUUUCGGAGCGUAAAGUUCUUUUAUGUAUGAGCAAUGCUUUGUUGUUUAAGAGAUAGCAAAGAGAGAUAUUAGUACAGGAAUAAGCCACGGCUAACUCCGUGCCAGCAGCCGCGGUAAUACGGGGGUGGCAAGCGUUGUCCGGAAUUACUAGGCGUAAAGGGCAGGUAGGCGGAUAUUCAAGUCAGUUGUUUAAGGCACUAGCUCAACUAGUGUACGGCAUUUGAAACUGGAUAUCUAGAAUCAGGUAGAGGUAGAUGGAAUUCCUAGUGUAGCGGUGGAAUGCGCAGAGAUUAGGAGGAACACCAAAUGCGAAGGCAAUCUACUGGGCCAUGAUUGACGCUAAACUGCGAAGGUGUGGGUAUCAAACAGGAUUAGAUACCCCUGUAGUC